CAGAUUGAACGCUGGCGGCAGGCCUAACACAUGCAAGUCGAGCGGUAGCACAGAGAGCUUGCUCUCGGGUGACGAGCGGCGGACGGGUGAGUAAUGUCUGGGAAACUGCCUGAUGGAGGGGGAUAACUACUGGAAACGGUAGCUAAUACCGCAUAACGUCGCAAGACCAAAGUGGGGGACCUUCGGGCCUCAUGCCAUCAGAUGUGCCCAGAUGGGAUUAGCUAGUAGGUGGGGUAACGGCUCACCUAGGCGACGAUCCCUAGCUGGUCUGAGAGGAUGACCAGCCACACUGGAACUGAGACACGGUCCAGACUCCUACGGGAGGCAGCAGUGGGGAAUAUUGCACAAUGGGCGCAAGCCUGAUGCAGCCAUGCCGCGUGUGUGAAGAAGGCCUUCGGGUUGUAAAGCACUUUCAGCGGGGAGGAAGGCGUUAAGGUUAAUAACCUUGGCGAUUGACGUUACCCGCAGAAGAAGCACCGGCUAACUCCGUGCCAGCAGCCGCGGUAAUACGGAGGGUGCAAGCGUUAAUCGGAAUUACUGGGCGUAAAGCGCACGCAGGCGGUCUGUCAAGUCGGAUGUGAAAUCCCCGGGCUCAACCUGGGAACUGCAUUCGAAACUGGCAGGCUAGAGUCUUGUAGAGGGGGGUAGAAUUCCAGGUGUAGCGGUGAAAUGCGUAGAGAUCUGGAGGAAUACCGGUGGCGAAGGCGGCCCCCUGGACAAAGACUGACGCUCAGGUGCGAAAGCGUGGGGAGCAAACAGGAUUAGAUACCCUGGUAGUCCACGCCGUAAACGAUGUCGAUUUGGAGGUUGUGCCCUUGAGGCGUGGCUUCCGGAGCUAACGCGUUAAAUCGACCGCCUGGGGAGUACGGCCGCAAGGUUAAAACUCAAAUGAAUUGACGGGGGCCCGCACAAGCGGUGGAGCAUGUGGUUUAAUUCGAUGCAACGCGAAGAACCUUACCUGGUCUUGACAUCCACAGAACUUUCCAGAGAUGGAUUGGUGCCUUCGGGAACUGUGAGACAGGUGCUGCAUGGCUGUCGUCAGCUCGUGUUGUGAAAUGUUGGGUUAAGUCCCGCAACGAGCGCAACCCUUAUCCUUUGUUGCCAGCGGUUCGGCCGGGAACUCAAAGGAGACUGCCAGUGAUAAACUGGAGGAAGGUGGGGAUGACGUCAAGUCAUCAUGGCCCUUACGACCAGGGCUACACACGUGCUACAAUGGCAUAUACAAAGAGAAGCGACCUCGCGAGAGCAAGCGGACCUCAUAAAGUAUGUCGUAGUCCGGAUUGGAGUCUGCAACUCGACUCCAUGAAGUCGGAAUCGCUAGUAAUCGUAGAUCAGAAUGCUACGGUGAAUACGUUCCCGGGCCUUGUACACACCGCCCGUCACACCAUGGGAGUGGGUUGCAAAAGAAGUAGGUAGCUUAACCUUCGGGAGGGCGCUUACCACUUUGUGAUUCAUGA
rnacentral:rRNA from 1 species